AUCAUGCUCGCACGUUGGAGCUGUUCUUUUUGCAGUUGAAGCUGGGGUGAAAAUGAGAGCGACAUGCACAUCAGAGCAGUGCAAGUGGCUGAUGCCAUCUCAUGUUAAAAAGAUUCCUGCUUGCCCAGUAACUCUGAUUGACUUCUCUUCAGCAAAGUCAAAAAAACGAAAGCUUGAGUGUUCCAUUGAUGGCUGCACAAGUACACAAAAGUUAUGGAUGCAAACAUGAAGCACAAGCCAGAGGAGCAUAUGAGAAGCUUAUGAGCCAGGAGCAUGCAGGCUUCUCAUGUAUGGACAGCGGUCUCUGGCUGAACCCCAAGUGGCCAUACAUGGGGUCCACCCCUGAUGGGAUAGUCACUUGUGAUUGUCAUGGAACUGGCAUCUGCGAGAUUAAGUGCCCACACUCUCAGAGAGAUGCGGUCAACCUGCGCAUGCGUGCUGGGGAGAAGGGCUUCUGCCUCAUCAGUGACGGGGAUAAUGUCACACUGGACCCAACUCAUGACUACUAUUACCAAAUUCAGGCACAGCUUCACAUUGCAAAUGCAGAGUACUGUGACUUUGUUGUGUGGAACCGCAAUGACAUAUUUGUUGAAAGGAUUUUGCCUGACCUUGAGUUUUGGGAUGAUGCGAUUCCUAAAGUUGAGUGUUUUUUUAGAAACAGUAUACUCCCAGAAAUACUGGGACAGCAAGUUACAAACAUACAUGUGUAAUGUGAUAAAAGGACGACAACAUAAUGACAUUUUGAAUAUUGUUAUGACCUGAUGGUAGUCAUUAUGAGUUCUGGCUAUUGUAUUUGCUCUGACGUAGCAUUAGAGCACAGAUUGUCAUUUAAUUUUAUUGUACAUUUAAUUGUGUCAUUUAAGUGUUGUGUAACACUACACAAUGAUUAAAUGCUAUUGAGGCAGCAUAAUAAUACAUUGGUGGUUUAUUUACAAGAUUAGACUUUUAAACAAAUAAACAAAAUAGAUUGCAAUCCAUCUCACAGUAUAAUACUGUACAAACUGCCAGCACAAUAUGACAGUUGGAGAAAAAUAUUUCAUUUGAAAACAUUUACAGACUAAUCAGGAGUCAGGACUUAGGUACUACUAUUACUCUACCCUGUUCUACUUAUCACCAGAGCCAAGCAGCAGAUACUGGACACUACUCUUCCUCUCCACCCCCGUCUGUGAGCCGUGACAGUGACAAGACAUUUAAUUUUUUUUAACUGAUUGAUUACCACCCACCCCCCUUACUCCAGUGGGACAACAGACUCGGAGAGAUUUGAUAAGGCACAACAAAUUACCCCAAUCUUGUCGAUCAAUGCAUGUGUCUCACCUGGCUUUGUGGACAUGUUCUCUAUUGGCAUAGCCCUGCUCUGCAGAAUUUGAUAUUUCCUCCUGACUAAACCUAUGACUCGCUCAACAUGGAUACGCAAAUUGGCUAUUUUCCUUGUCUCUGCCACUUCAUAGGCUGACAGCUGUUUUCUCCCUUUAGUGAAUGCCGGUGUCUGUAGUGAAGCACAGUAAAACCCCACAUUAUCGCCAAUAUUGAACCCACGAUCUGCAAGGACAAUAUCUCCAGGUAACAAGUUCUUUAGGAGGCCACUCUCUAUUGUGAUCUGCUUAUCGCUAAUUCUCCCUCCCCAGGCAGAAGAUAUGUAAGUGACGUAGCCUUGGGGGGCAACACCAAUCAAAAAUUUUACAGUGUGAUGGUGCUUGUAGUUGGACCAAGUUUGAGCUUGUGCAAGAAGAUUAGAUGGUCUCUCAAUAAAGACUUCAAAGCAAUCAACAAUCACAGCCACUUUACAUCCAAAUGCCUGUCUGAAACUCAGUGGCAUCGUAGCUUGAAGAACAUGUCGCUCUGGCCACUCAAUUAGGAACUCUAACCUUUUAUGAAGUAUGUCAAUUACUUUAUGCCAAACUCUAGAAGCAGUGGACAGAGAAAUAUUGAACCUGAAAGCUAAAUCUUUCAGGGGCAGAUUUAGUCUCAGCCUCAGCAAAACUAGUAUGAAUUGUUCAAAUUUGGACAACAAAGACAUAGGUCCCGAGGUGAUAUAGGGCUCGCACAG